rnacentral:rRNA from 1 species
UUGAACGCUGGCGGCAGGCCUAACACAUGCAAGUCGAACGGUAACAGGAAGAAGCUUGCUUCUUUGCUGACGCGUGGCGGACGGGUGAGUAAUGCCUGGGAAACUGCCUGAUGGAGGGGGAUAACUACUGGAAACGGUAGCUAAUACCGCAUAACGUCGCAAGACCAAAGAGGGGGACCUUCGGGCCUCUUGCCAUCGGAUGUGCCCAGAUGGGAUUAGCUAGUAGGUGGGGUAACGGCUCACCUAGGCGACGAUCCCUAGCUGGUCUGAGAGGAUGACCAGCCACACUGGAACUGAGACACGGUCCAGACUCCUACGGGAGGCAGCAGUGGGGAAUAUUGCACAAUGGGCGCAAGCCUGAUGCAGCCAUGCCGCGUGUAUGAAGAAGGCCUUCGGGUUGUAAAGUACUUUCAGCGGGGAGGAAGGGAGUAAAGUUAAUACCUUUGCUCAUUGACGUUACCCGCAGAAGAAGCACCGGCUAACUCCGU